AUGGCCGAGUACUCUUUUGUGAAGUCUACCAAGCUUGUGCUCAAGGGAACCAAGGCGAAGAGCUGGUAAGAAGAAAAAGAGGAAAGAUAAGAAGAGAAGAAGAUGAAGAAACCCAGUGUGAUAUGUUGGAAUCUGGUGAACAGUAACAAACUUUGGUGAAAUUUCAGGAACCAUAGCCAUUGAAAUGGAUGAGGGAACCUAUAUACAUGUACUCGACAAUGGUAUUUUUACCCUGGGAGCUCCACACAAAGAAGUUGAUGAGGGCCCUAGUCCUCCAGAGCAGUUUAUGGCUGUCAAAUUAUCUGAUUCCAAAUCACCCUGAAAUCUGGCUAUGGAAAAUAUCUUGGUAUAAAUUCAGAUGAACUUGUUGUUGGGCGUUCAGUUGCAAUUGGACCAAGAGAACAAUGGGAACCAGUCUUUCAAAAUGGUAAAAUGGCUUUGUUGGCCUCAAAUAGCUGCUUUAUUAGAUGUAAUGAAACAGGGGACAUAGAAGCAAAAGGUAAAACAGCAGGAGAAGAAGAAAUGAUCAAG